CCUACGGGCGGCAGCAGUGGGGAAUAUUGGACAAUGGGCGAAAGCCUGAUCCAGCCAUGCCGCGUGUGUGAAGAAGGCCUUCGGGUUGUAAAGCACUUUCAGUGGGGAAGAAAGCCUUGGGGCUAAUACCCUCGAGGAAGGACAUCACCCACAGAAGAAGCACCGGCUAACUCCGUGCCAGCAGCCGCGGUAAUACGGAGGGUGCGAGCGUUAAUCGGAAUUACUGGGCGUAAAGCGCGCGUAGGCGGUCUGAUAAGCCGGUUGUGAAAGCCCCGGGCUCAACCUGGGAACGGCAUCCGGAACUGUCAGGCUAGAGUGCAGGAGAGGAAGGUAGAAUUCCCGGUGUAGCGGUGAAAUGCGUAGAGAUCGGGAGGAAUACCAGUGGCGAAGGCGGCCUUCUGGACUGACACCGACGCUGAGGUGCGAAAGCGUGGGUAGCAAACAGGAUUAGAUACCCCUGUAGUC
rnacentral:rRNA from 1 species